GAAUUUUAUGGUUCUAUAGACUUUCUCUGCCCUUCCUUCUCACUCAGAAGUGGAGAAAGAAAGCUUGUGGAAGACUUGACUGAGUCAGGGCUUAGCGCAGACAGCAGAAAAAAAGCUGCUGGGCUCCUGCAGCAAGGCAAGGUGUGUGCACUGGGACAAGCACACCAGGGACCCACAGUGGCCGCGCCCUCAGUCUUGGGAACAGGCUUUGGAGCACCGGGAACACCCAAGUCCCUGGAGGCAGCAAGCCGAGAAAGAGAAAGUCCCCAGUCUGUCAGCGAUCAGAACAUCAGUUUCAGCGCACCCUGAUGAGAAGUGGAACUGCUGUGGUGGUCAACCAGCAUCACUCAUCCGUCAGAAGAAGGCUGGCUGGACGGAUAUCUCGUCUCCCAGGAAAAAUCGGCCAGAGGCCCGGCGCCAGUGGUUGCAUGUUAUAGAAAGAAGAAUGUUAUAACUACACCGAAGUCUACUAUGCUACAUUUGAUCAUGACCAUUUUCUGAACUGAAUUUCCUUGAAGAGAGAAAACCUUCAAACUUGAGUUUCCCAACAGAAGAACAAGAUAACUGAAGUUUUGAAACAGACAAGAUCAGCCAAAUUGAUGUGAAGAACAUCUCAUUGCUUUGCUUUGUGUUAUGAAAUAAAUUGUAGUUGUAUUAAUAAAAGAAAUGUUAAAUUGUUAAAAAAAUAGUAACCAGGAGCCAAUUGGUUUUUAAUCAAUUUAAUACCAUACCUUCAAGUUUUAAAUCAUAAGUUUUGAGUCAAAAUGAAAAGAAAAUUUAUAUUUAUUUAACAUGAAAUAAAUUUGUUUGUUUUACACAUUUAACUCCUGGAAACUAUGAAACAUCUUUCUAUGGAACAUCCUUUUAUGAAAUGGUAAGCUUUCUAUGAAAUGUUAAAUUCUUUUUAAGUUUGCCACUUAAAAGAGUUUUUGUUUGACAAUUUAAAACAAUUUUUUAAUUACCUUUUGAGCCCAAUUUUUACCAGCUAAUUAUUCAAAAAUUAAGAUAUUAUUUCGCAGUGAAUUGAAGAAAUGAAUAAAAUUAUAGUUAAAAUGCAUAAUCAGUGAAAAACAAGACAAGUACAAGCUAAAUUAGACAUAUCCAAAAUUAUUUGAGUUUUUGAAAAAUUUUUAAAUUAUAAUUUGUUUUAUUUUACGUUUGUAAAAUUUUAUGAUUUAUUACACUAAUACCUUUUGUUCUUUUAGAUAAACUUUAAUGCCCUUUUUGUAUUUAAGAACGAGCAGAUGUUGUAUUGUGCUUUUUGGUUUAUUAGUAGGUUUAUGGUUUGAUUUGUGAUUUGGUGGUUUUCCUUGGUGCUGUUUUCCUUUUGUCUCUGCCUUUUCCCAGUUAUUUCAUCAACUAGUUUCCAGUUUCUAUUUCUCCAAAUUUUAGCUGCUUAUUGAAACCGCUUUUCCUCCUUUGGAAUGUUAUUGGUUCACUGCUGUUAUCCCUGCCUAGGAUUUUUACUCCCAACUCUCCUGAUUUGUUGAAAGUUGUGCCUACCCCUGACCUCCCCCCGCAUAGAAGUCUUUGUUUGCCCCUUGAUCGGGGUCCCAGGAGAGGAAAAGGGGAAGUUUACCAUCAAAUAAAGUUUCCCUGGGACCCGUG